rfam:Nicotiana attenuata strain TT chromosome 11, whole genome shotgun sequence.
GGGAUAUGAUGAGUGGUCAAAACUCGCAAUUACUAAGUGAAAUGGGUGUCCAUCCCAUCCUGGUUACGACAACCAUGGGCACUUUCAUUUUUACCGAUCUAAUCCC